rnacentral:misc_RNA from 1 species
UUGUCUCUAUAACUCCUUCCAUGGUUG